rnacentral:lncRNA from 1 species
GUGGAGGAGGGAAAGUCUAUCACAUUGUCUUGUACUGUUGCAGGUGACCCAGUUCCAAAUUUGUACUGGGAUGUCGGUAAUCUGGUUUCCAAGCAUAUGAAUGAAACAAGCCACACACAGGGCUCCUUAAGGAUAACUAACAUUUCAUCUGAUGACAGUGGAAAGCAAAUCUCUUGUGUGGCAGAAAAUCUUGUAGGAGAAGAUCAAGAUUCUGUCAACCUCACUGUACAUUUUGCUCCAACUAUCACAUUUCUCGAAUCUCCAACCUCAGACCACCACUGGUGCAUUCCAUUCACUGUGAAAGGCAAUCCCAAGCCAGCGCUUCAGUGGUUCUAUAACGGGGCAAUUUUGAAUGAGUCCAAAUACAUCUGUACUAAAAUCCAUGUUACCAAUCAUACGGAGUACCACGGCUGCCUCCAGCUGGACAACCCCACUCACAUGAACAAUGGGGACUACAAGUUAGUAGCCAAGAAUGAAUAUGGGAAGGAUGAGAAACAGAUUUCUGCUCACUUCAUGGGCUGGCCUGGAAUCGAUGAUGGUUUGCCAUCAGCAAAUCUGGCUGCACCUAACCUCACCGUGGAGGAGGGACAGUCUAUCACAUUAUCUUGUACUGUUGCAGGUGACCCAGUUCCAAAUUUGUACUGGGAUGUCGGUAAUCUGGUUUCCAAGCAUAUGAAUGAAACAAGCCACACACAGGGCUCCUUAAGGAUAACUAACAUUUCAUCUGAUGACAGUGGAAAGCAAAUCUCUUGUGUGGCAGAAAAUCUUGUAGGAGAAGAUCAAGAUUCUGUCAACCUCACUGUACAUUUUGCUCCAACUAUCACAUUUCUCGAAUCUCCAACCUCAGACCACCACUGGUGCAUUCCAUUCACUGUGAAAGGCAAUCCCAAGCCAGCGCUUCAGUGGUUCUAUAACGGGGCAAUUUUGAAUGAGUCCAAAUACAUCUGUACUAAAAUCCAUGUUACCAAUCAUACGGAGUACCACGGCUGCCUCCAGCUGGACAACCCCACUCACAUGAACAAUGGGGACUACAAGUUAGUAGCCAAGAAUGAAUAUGGGAAGGAUGAGAAACAGAUUUCUGCUCACUUCAUGGGCUGGCCUGGAAUCGAUGAUGGUGCAAAUCCAAAUUAUCCUGAUGUAAUUUAUGAAGAUUACGGAACCGCAGCAAAUGACAUUGGGGACACCACGAACAAAAGUAAUGGAACCCUUCCCACAGGUGUUGUUGAUACAGGUCGGGAACACCUCUCGGUCUAUGCUGUGGUGGUAAUUGCAUCUGUAGUGGGAUUUUGUCUACUGGUAAUGCUAUUUCUGCUGAAGUUGGCAAGACAUUCCAAGUUUGGCAUGAAAGAAUUAAAAAAAAAAAAGCAAACAAACCAUGUGGAACAAUCUGUGGCAGAUGGUUAUUUCGGCUCUAGGUGAGUUUUUGUCAUUAUACUCUGGGAUGGAGAACUCUGCUUUGUAUAAUCAUCUGUUCUUUCAGUGAACUGCCAGCUAAGAACUAGUGGAGCUCUGAUGGUUUAGGACGGGACUUUUUUUUUUUUUUUUUUUUCCUAGAGAUGAACACGUAAGGUCUCUCCACUUGAGUUCUGUAGAAUUUUAGAUGCCAUGUAUAAACCAGUAAUCUGACAGUUCAGUUAGGGGUUUGGAGAGGUGAGGUAGAAUUAGUUAAAACACGUUUGCCCUCUUUUCCAGGUUUAGCUUCCCUUGGAAAGUACAACCAUAAACAGCUAAACUAUGGUGUUCAGUGUGAGCGCAAGUCCCUAAUUAAUUUAUUUUAUGUUAAUUAAGUUUAUAAUUAUAUAGUAAAACAGUUACUUUCUCCCUCAAGAAAUUGACUGAAUCUUCUGAAGGGGCUUUGUGACUGUAAUUUAGGUGCAAUUAAGUUAAAUUUAGUUAGGGUUUGGUUCAUUUAGCUACUGCUGGAAGAUGCUAGAUGGGAGGAAAUGAGCAACAUCUCAGAGGCAACUCUGGAUCUAGAGGGUGUGUGUGUCUCUCUCCUGGGCUCAGGCAGCUGGUGUAGGUGUCAAGGACAAGGGCAAACUGAACACCUAUCAAGGUGAGGUUUCAUGUUUGUCACCUCAGUAUAGUCCUCAGCUGUGGAACUGUAGACUCCUGUAACUGUGGAUAAAGGCAAAAUAUUUUUGCAAUUUCUUUGUGUGUGUGUGGUUCUGGAAUUGGAACUGAAGUCAUGGAAUAGUUUUCAGAUGUCUUCCAUCAUGGGUGUGAAAUCCCUGAAUCCCUCUUCACAGUCAGUGAUAUCAUCAACCAGAGGCCACAAUUUUGGCAUCAAAAAGCCAUUUUACCUCCUUAGAGGAGUGGGAAAGGGUCCUUGGCCAGCCUGUGGCUUUGGUGGCUGGCUGUGGUUCAACACAGCCUUCUCCAGCAGUCCCAGGGCUUCUAACUGAGAGGACCACAGUUUCGCAGGAGUGUGAAAAUGGACGUUUUGAGCAAAGUUUCCUUCUGUGAGUUUUUACUUGAUAGCUUAUAAUAAAGAAUUUGUCUAGGCCUAUGAUUGAAAAUGC